CGAAACUUGUGAAUCGUGCAUUUGCUCUUCAUGGUAGCUGCCAAAAAAUCGAGUCAAACUUAUGGGACACUGGAUUACAGGUUGCUGCCACUACUCCAUGUGCCCGCAAUUGUCUUGCGUGUAUGAUUACACUAACGGCGUCGCCCACCACGGCGGAAGUGUUUUGCGUACACGCGUUUCAGCAUGAAGCCUGCAGGUGGACGUAAAUUGUAGAAGGCAGCUAGUGGGAGAGAAGAUCAUGGUCAUAGGUCAUGUGACUCCUGGAGCUCCCAGUGGGCUCCCUUGUGGAGUACUUUUCAGAACACACACACACACACAGUUUGCUCACAGAACCAACGAGUAGGAUGUUGCUUGAAUACUGAGAGAAAAUGGCGUAACACAUACAAAUAUCGUGUGACACAUAUGACAAUAAAAACAUUUUUCACGAGGGA